UCCAAUCAUAAAUAAAGUGUAAUGUAUAAGCGCCCAUUAUUAGUAUUCGCCUAAUACAAAAUGGCGGAGGGGAGGAAGAGGCCCCCCCAGCAUGUUGAAACUAUGUAAAUAAAGAGAGUAAAUGCCUUUAACGGAUCGGUUCGCGUUAUCGGCGACCGAGGCGACCGGAGCAGCUAUCGCGGGUCUGCGCUUUUUCCCUCGCCGGGAGCCGGCGGCUCGGCUCGGUUCGACUCGUCCCGGAAUGCAGCAGCCAGGGCCGGUCAGUCCCACCGUCCAGAUGCACAGCCACGGCGCGGCGCAAGUCACAGCAAUGCACACAAAAGAGCCGAGCGGAGCGCCGAGCGCGCAUGCGCCGCACGGCCGCUCCGCUGCCAACUUCGGCACGAGUACCGACCAGCGGCGGCCGCGGUGCCCAGCCUGGACUCGAACCCGCGGCGGGUCAUUUGCGGGCACUGGGGACGUCGAGUCCGAAAGACGCGUCACCGGUGACGCGCAGGUUGCGCUGUGUCCUGUCGGAGUGGCAUGUCUGCCCCCGGUGCAAAGGACAGCUGCCCGAAGUGUAUAUGACACCAGACACCAUUAAACAAGCUGCCGUGAGCCUGUGAUGUUUACUGUGAUAACUUAAUGCAGCGAACAAAUCUCAGUUAAUGCACACUAAUGUCCCUUUGGAUAAUAAAACCAAUGUAGCCUACGUGGUUCACUUUCGUGUUUGUAAUAUAGACUUCAUUCUAAAUUUCUUUGAAAUUUACGUUUUUGUUAAGUCUCACUUGCAGGGCGAUAAUUGCAUCAUAAAGCAAGUUGCAUCGUGUAUUUAUAAAAUAAUGAAAAUCGUAGGCUACGAGUAUUAUGGCCACGGGUACCAGAUCAGUGAACAUGUGGCGAGAGAUGGGAAAGACGCAUGGCGUCUUAUAACGAAGCCGAGCCGUAUCAGUGCGGGGGUGUCGCUGCUUCUUAUUCGGCUUUGUUCAGGUAUCCGUAAGGAAAGCGAGGCUCACGCAGUCCGCACAACUGGGCAAAUGCUGCGCUUCAGCCUUCGGCUGCACCCAUCCGAUCCACUUAAAGUUUCGCAGUUCCAGCGCUGUUUGACUGUUAUUCACGUAAAAUAACACAUUUCAUGUUCUUGUUUCGAUUAGCAUAAACUGUACAUCUACUAUACGUAAUGUAGAUUAUCAAAACAUUUAUGCAUAAGCCUGUGUACUAGAAAUGAACGGUUAUCUGGUUCAAAAACUGCAGUCAAAUUUUGAAGACGUUGGUUUACUUUCAGGCAAAAAAAACUAAGUAAUAAAAACACAGUAUGCAACUGGUCCAGCUGGAUACUUAAUGGCCCGAAUCUAUUUGUAUGACUGAAUGCAUGACUCCAUCGACAAGCAAAAACAGACGUGUUGAACUGCAAACUGUAUAAGAAAGACUGCGUUAGGAAGGGGGGAGGGGACAGGACUGGACCAGCAGUUAUAGAGCAGGGGGAGGUAAUGUGACCUAUCUGUGCCUGAAGACCGACCUUAAGGAAAUCAGAACCUUCCUCUGGUCCCAGGGUCCUGCCCCCUCCCCAUCUUCCGGAAUGGUCUCCCUUCCUGCGUGUCUUUGAGUUACUAGUGAACUGUGCAGUUCUCAUCAGUUCCUUCUUCUAAUUGCUUUGAGAUCCCCCCCCCCUCAAAUAUUACAAACAUUACUGUAUAUUAUUGAAGGACAAUCAGGGGUGCAGCUAAAAAUUCUAGGUCCCCUGAUGAGACGUCACCAUGGGGUGGGCACUCUACUUUCAGUCUGAAGGAAUAUGGACCCCAUGCGUAUGGGAUUCGGGGACCCCCCCGGUAGGCUUUGAGGUCCCUAUAAAGCAUUGGCCCCCCUGUAACUGCCAGGGCAUGGUAUCCAUGACCUCCCGAUGCCCGUGGGUGCAGCAACACUGUAACAGAAAAACAGAGAGGAAGCAGGGCAAGGGAAGCCUGUGUGCAUUUCAUAAUUUUUUGUAAUAAAUGUGUUUCCUUUGACACACUGGACAGAAAGUUUGACUUGCGUUGGGACAAACUGAGGAUGAGGUUUUCCUUCAAAGGAAGAAGUCCUGUAUUACAGUUUAUGUCUUAUAUUGAUCCCGGUAAUGGUGUUACUGGGUUGGGCCGAUCGAAGCCUGGGUGGCACACUAGGCAAGCUUAACCCCCCCGAAACCCCCCCCCCCGAAACCAAGCUAAUGCAUAAGCGAUGGAAGUAAAGAAAAAAAGGAUUGUUCAUUGUCUAAUCUUACAUAGUAGCGCAAUAAAUAAUAUUAUAAUAAGUGACAUUAUUAUAUAUAUUAACUGGUGCUUUGAAGUCAUAAUGUGCCCUUAUGUCUUUAAUUGCAUUAAUUUUGAUGCCCCCUUGGGAGAAUAGUAUGAGCGAAGAUUUUUAAUAGAAUUUAAUUUCUAUGCUGAAUAUGCAGAGUAUAAAACCAUUUCUUGAUGGUAUUACAGCAUGACUGUAUAUCCGAUUAACUGCCAAUGUGUGUGAUUAAUCGCAAUUAAAAGAUCCUUUUUUACAUGUCUUUUUGGUCACACCAUGGCAGAUCAUACCUGUUCAGGGCCUAAGGCUAAGCUUUACCUGGGAGCCCCCCCCCACAGAAAACUGAUGAUCAUUUCACUUCCUCUACAACGCAGGAAAAUCAGGGCCCCAGGCACGUGCCUGUUCUGCCUACAGCUAGAACCGGUCCAGCGCCAUGGUAACCGAACAGUAUCCUUGAUACUUGUCCCCUCAUGUAGCUGUUCUAGACUGCAGAGGGCACCAGUACUUCUAGGGGCACGAGCAAGCCAAUUUCACUGGUGCAUACCAGUGGUGUAGUGCUGUCUUGGCAGGUGGGUAUCCUGUUCGACCGUAUAAUUGUGUAAUCGCACUUCUCUGACUGAUACGCAUUUCUGACCAUUUUUUUACAUGUGGGUAUACUCUGUAUACCUGCAUAUACCCACCACAAAACCUCUGGUAUGCUCUACACACAAGUGAAAUUGCCUGCUUAUGUCGCCUAUUUACGACUGACCAGCCAUGCAAUGACAACCAACAUCUGAAAGACUAUCCACUGCAUCACACUCAUUCCAUUCGGGCUACUGUACACUGUUACUUGCAUUUUUCUAUUCUUGUGUUAAACCUACCUUAGGAUAUAUAUUUGUUUAAAGGCCAAAAGAUCUCAUACUAUAAUCCUGCUGUUUAGACAAAGUGGGGCACCAUGCGCGUAAAACAGAAUCUGACUACCCAGGAAGAACACACAAAGCAGUUAAAAUCAGUGACGGUGAUUUCCUGGAAAUCGUGCAAUCGGCAUAGUAGGGCGACACGUUCCUCUCUCAUCGUAUUUACUAAGCCAAUGAAGUCUGUUUAGCGGAUGAAAAACGACGCGUGUUUCACUCACAUAUGCAACAAAUUAAAAUGGCAUUCAAAGGCAAAGUGGCCGACACAAAGACCGUCGUUCUCCAUUUGAUUCUUUGCCUGGUCAUAUUCUACACGCUGUACUACAUGAUUGGCAGCAUUUGUUUUGGUGCUUUCAGGCUUGAGAAUUUUGAUGGACUCAUACCUUUUGAUUUCAAGGUUAAUCCAACUGAGU